GAAAAAACAGAUGAUGCAUACUAUAUUCCCUUGUUGGAAAGUCUGCAACAGCUUCUUAAUGAUGAGUCAAUUCUUAACGAGGUGGAAAAUCCUCAUUUUUGCAACAGUGAUUUUUUGUCUGAUUAUUGUGAUGGUGAAGGCUUUAAAGAGCACCCACUAUUCAGUAAAGAUCCCUUGGCAUUGCAACUUCUUAUUUAUUUUGAUGAAGUAGAAGUUUGUAACCCAUUAGGAUCAAGAGCUAACAAACAUAAAUUAGCCGCUUUUUAUUAUA